UGGGGGAUCGUCUAACGGUAGGACAGCGGACUCUGACUCCGUUAAUCUAGGUUCGAAUCCUAGUCCCCCAGCCA
rnacentral:tRNA from 1 species